GAUGAACGCUGGCGGCGUGCCUAAUACAUGCAAGUCGAGCGAACGGACGAGAAGCUUGCUUUUCUGAUGUUAGCGGCGGACGGGUGAGUAACACGUGGAUAACCUACCUAUAAGACUGGGAUAACUUCGGGAAACCGGAGCUAAUACCGGAUAAUAUUUUGAACCGCAUGGUUCAAAAGUGAAAGACGGUCUUGCUGUCACUUAUAGAUGGAUCCGCGCUGCAUUAGCUAGUUGGUAAGGUAACGGCUUACCAAGGCAACGAUGCAUAGCCGACCUGAGAGGGUGAUCGGCCACACUGGAACUGAGACACGGUCCAGACUCCUACGGGAGGCAGCAGUAGGGAAUCUUCCGCAAUGGGCGAAAGCCUGACGGAGCAACGACGCGUGAGUGAUGAAGGUCUUCGGAUCGUAAAACCCUGUUAUUAGGGAAGAACAUAUGUGUAAGUAACUGUGCACAUCUUGACGGUACCUAAUCAGAAAGCCACGGCUAACUACGUG
rnacentral:rRNA from 1 species